AGCCUUCAGCAAACCAAUAUACAAGUAUUGAAGGUGAUGCCUGCCCGGUGACUCAAUGUUUAACGGCCGCGGUAUCCUAACCGUGCAAAGGUAGCGCAAUCAAUUGUCCCAUAAAUCGGGACCAGUAUGAAUGGCUAAACGAGGUUCUAACUGUCUCUUACAGGUAAUCAGUGAAAUUGAUCUCCCUGUGCAAAAGCAGGGAUAACCACAUAAGACGAGAAGACCCUGUGGAACUUUAAAAACAGCAACCACCCCAAAAUACAUACACCCCCACCCCGGGCUUACUUAAUCACACGGGCGAUUGGUCUGCAUUUUUUCGGUUGGGGCGACCUUGGAGCAAAACAAAACCUCCAAACAUUGGACCAUUCCUCUAGACUAAGAGCAACUUCUCGACGUGCUAAUAGCAACCAGACCCAAUAUCAUUGAUCAAUGGACCAAGCUACCCCAGGGAUAACAGCGCAAUCUCCUUCGAGAGUCCAUAUCGACAAGGAGGUUUACGACCUCGAUGUUGGAUCAGGACAUCCUAGUGGUGCAGCAGCUACUAAGGGUUCGUUAGUUCAACGAUUAACAGUCCU
rnacentral:rRNA from 1 species